rnacentral:lncRNA from 1 species
CUCCCCUCCCCUCCUCCCCCUCCUCCUCUCCUCCCCCCCUCCGCUCCUCCCCCUUCUCCUCCCCCUCCCCUCCUAUUCUCCUCUUCCUCCCCUCCUCCCUCCUCGUCCCCCUCCUCUCCUCUCCACCCCUCCUCCUUCCCUCCUUACCCCUCCCAUUCUCUCUACCAUCUGAGCUUCAGGUUUACAGACGACACAGCCUGAAUGUCAAUGAUUGCUAGGAAGGAAAUGAAGGAUGCCGUGUCGGCAUUACGUCCAAGAGCGCUACGCUCAAAUUCCUCCCCCUUUCCUCCCCCUUUUACAAAGGAGUAUUUUCUUUCAUCCUUUCUCUGCGUUGUGCAUCCAUCCAUAUAUCCAGACCAACCAUCCAUGGUACAAGUACAAUAGGAUGAUGGAUUGUCUGAAAGAAUAGAGAUGAAGGGACAAGGAUAGUGUGUGUGUGAAUGUCUGAGUGUGUACAUACAGGAGAGGAUAGUGGACUCUGGAUCCACUAAGACUGUGAAUUGAAUACUGAUGCUAACCCAUCCUUUUUUCUCACACUCCUGGUACCCUGUAUAGAAUGGACAGUGGAUCCGUUGGUUCUGCGUUCUGUUGCUGUGUUCUAAUGUUCUAAGACUCCUUUCACCACACGAUUCCGGAACCUUUUCCUAACUGCUCCCGGCACGGAGAGUAGGGCUGUGCUUCUGUGGCUCUCAAUCAGAAGGAGAAAACACAAAGCCUGGUGCUAUUGAGCUAGAGCGCCCCUUAUAGACGAAGACAGGGAGAACCCCCUGUUCAGACCUUACUCUUUCCUUCCAGCAACAUGAACAAAGACAGGGAGAACCCCCUGUUCAGACCUUACUCUGUCCCUCCAGCAACAUGAACAAAGACAGGGAGAACCCCCUGUUCAAACCCUGCUUUGUCCCUCCAGCAACAUGGACAAAGACAGGGAGAAGCCCCCUGUUCAAACCCUGCUUUGUCCCUCCAGCAACAUGGACAAAGACAGGGAGAAGCCCCAUGUUCAAACCCUGCUUUGUCCCUCCAGCAACAACACCGAUGACCGACUAUCUGGGCGCUCUUUUUCUUACGUCGUUCCUUCAGGAAAAACCAAACAACAACUUUAUAAAGACGUAAGAAGAAGAACAAAAAAAAGAAAAAAAGUCAAUUAUAACAUUAUUAAUCCAUAGUCAAGUGACACUUGUUUAAAAUAUUUAGUGAAUGGAACUAUAUUAAAAACAACUACGAAGAAACUCAGUGUUGGUUUGCCUUGUAUACUGGAGCCUCUGUGUUUUCAGCACAGAAAUAGAAUGACUAGAAUGGGGAUUCCCUAUUCAAGUCAAUGAGGCCAUAAUGUCAAAUUGUCAUUGUCCGAGGUUCUAUGCACCUUCUGCUCAUUCUAAUUCUAUGGUUUUCAGCUACCUUGGUAUUACACUCCCUUAGAGGUAUGCAGAGUUUUUACUCUUUCUGAAGUACUGUGGUUAUUAUGGUGAUACUGUAUACUAUGGUUACAAUUGUCAUAUACUGUGCUUAUUACGGUUAUUACGGUAAUACUGUAUACUAUGGUUACUACUGUAAUAUACUGUGGUUAUUACAGUAAUACUGUAUACUAUGGUUACAAGUGUCAUAAACUGUGGUUAUUACGGUAAUACUGUAUACCAUGGUUACUACUAUCAUAUGCUCUGCUUAUUACGGUUAUUACGGUAGUACUGUAUACUAUGGUUACUACUGUCUUAUACUGUGCUUAUUACGGUUAUUACGGUAGUACUGUAUACUAUGGUUACUACUGUCAUAUACUGUGCUUAUUACGGUUAUUACGGUAAUACUGUAUACUGUGGUCUUAUACUAUGGUUAUUACAGUAAUGGUCAUCACUAUUCCUACUAUUAUUAGUCUCUGCUGUACCUCUAUAUUGUUCACGAAAAACAAGUACCACGAUAGAAAGAAAGAAGAGGGAGAGAGAAAGAAAGAGAGAGACAGAAAUGGAGUUGGAGAAGAGAAAUAGAUGACUUAAACCAAGACCGUGAUGGCUUAGUACUUACUAUAUACUGUAACGCUCAAUCCGGUUACAGAUUCUAGCCCUAAAUGCAGACACACACACACACACACACACACACACAGACACACACACACACACACACACACACACACACACACACACACACACACACACACACACACACACACACACACACACAAAUGUCUUCAGUAGCCUACUGUUGGCACAAACAGUGAUAUAUUAAAGUAGGCUCCACUCUCCAAUAAAACAUGUGUAGGAAUGUGCAGUUGGUAGAGUAUUACAGAGUAUGGGAGGAGAAGAGAAAGGCUUGGAGGAGGAAGAAUGGGAUAGAGGGAGAGGAGGAGGAUGACAUUUGACUGGUGGAUAUUUGACUCCUCUGAAAGAGGGGUCCACAGUUGGGUUAGUACAAGUCCAUCCAUUUUUUUCUUCUCUACUCCCCUCUCUCCCCUCCUCUUUUUCUUCUCUACUCCCCUCUCUCCCCCCUCUCAUUUUCAUCUCUCCUCCCCUCUCUCCCCCUCUCUUUUUCUUCUCUCCUCCCCCUCUCUCCCCCUCUCUUUUUCUUCUCUCCUCCCC